GGUUAAGCGACUAAGCGUACACGGUGGAUGCCCUGGCAGUCAGAGGCGAUGAAGGACGUGCUAAUCUGCGAUAAGCGUCGGUAAGGUGAUAUGAACCGUUAUAACCGGCGAUUUCCGAAUGGGGAAACCCAGUGUGUUUCGACACACUAUCAUUAACUGAAUCCAUAGGUUAAUGAGGCGAACCGGGGGAACUGAAACAUCUAAGUACCCCGAGGAAAAGAAAUCAACCGAGAUUCCCCCAGUAGCGGCGAGCGAACGGGGAGCAGCCCAGAGCCUGAAUCAGUGUGUGUGUUAGUGGAAGCGUCUGGAAAGGCGCGCGAUACAGGGUGACAGCCCCGUACACAAAAAUGCACAUAUUGUGAGCUCGAUGAGUAGGGCGGGACACGUGGUAUCCUGUCUGAAUAUGGGGGGACCAUCCUCCAAGGCUAAAUACUCCUGACUGACCGAUAGUGAACCAGUACCGUGAGGGAAAGGCGAAAAGAACCCCGGCGAGGGGAGUGAAAAAGAACCUGAAACCGUGUACGUACAAGCAGUGGGAGCCUCUUUUAUGGGGUGACUGCGUACCUUUUGUAUAAUGGGUCAGCGACUUAUAUUCUGUAGCAAGGUUAACCGAAUAGGGGAGCCGAAGGGAAACCGAGUCUUAACUGGGCGUUAAGUUGCAGGGUAUAGACCCGAAACCCGGUGAUCUAGCCAUGGGCAGGUUGAAGGUUGGGUAACACUAACUGGAGGACCGAACCGACUAAUGUUGAAAAAUUAGCGGAUGACUUGUGGCUGGGGGUGAAAGGCCAAUCAAACCGGGAGAUAGCUGGUUCUCCCCGAAAGCUAUUUAGGUAGCGCCUCGUGAAUUCAUCUCCGGGGGUAGAGCACUGUUUCGGCAAGGGGGUCAUCCCGACUUACCAACCCGAUGCAAACUGCGAAUACCGGAGAAUGUUAUCACGGGAGACACACGGCGGGUGCUAACGUCCGUCGUGAAGAGGGAAACAACCCAGACCGCCAGCUAAGGUCCCAAAGUCAUGGUUAAGUGGGAAACGAUGUGGGAAGGCCCAGACAGCCAGGAUGUUGGCUUAGAAGCAGCCAUCAUUUAAAGAAAGCGUAAUAGCUCACUGGUCGAGUCGGCCUGCGCGGAAGAUGUAACGGGGCUAAACCAUGCACCGAAGCUGCGGCAGCGACACUAUGUGUUGUUGGGUAGGGGAGCGUUCUGUAAGCCUGUGAAGGUGUGCUGUGAGGCAUGCUGGAGGUAUCAGAAGUGCGAAUGCUGACAUAAGUAACGAUAAAGCGGGUGAAAAGCCCGCUCGCCGGAAGACCAAGGGUUCCUGUCCAACGUUAAUCGGGGCAGGGUGAGUCGACCCCUAAGGCGAGGCCGAAAGGCGUAGUCGAUGGGAAACAGGUUAAUAUUCCUGUACUUGGUGUUACUGCGAAGGGGGGACGGAGAAGGCUAUGUUGGCCGGGCGACGGUUGUCCCGGUUUAAGCGUGUAGGCUGGUUUUCCAGGCAAAUCCGGAAAAUCAAGGCUGAGGCGUGAUGACGAGGCACUACGGUGCUGAAGCAACAAAUGCCCUGCUUCCAGGAAAAGCCUCUAAGCAUCAGGUAACAUCAAAUCGUACCCCAAACCGACACAGGUGGUCAGGUAGAGAAUACCAAGGCGCUUGAGAGAACUCGGGUGAAGGAACUAGGCAAAAUGGUGCCGUAACUUCGGGAGAAGGCACGCUGAUAUGUAGGUGAAGUCCCUUGCGGAUGGAGCUGAAAUCAGUCGAAGAUACCAGCUGGCUGCAACUGUUUAUUAAAAACACAGCACUGUGCAAACACGAAAGUGGACGUAUACGGUGUGACGCCUGCCCGGUGCCGGAAGGUUAAUUGAUGGGGUCAGCGCAAGCGAAGCUCUUGAUCGAAGCCCCGGUAAACGGCGGCCGUAACUAUAACGGUCCUAAGGUAGCGAAAUUCCUUGUCGGGUAAGUUCCGACCUGCACGAAUGGCGUAAUGAUGGCCAGGCUGUCUCCACCCGAGACUCAGUGAAAUUGAACUCGCUGUGAAGAUGCAGUGUACCCGCGGCAAGACGGAAAGACCCCGUGAACCUUUACUAUAGCUUGACACUGAACAUUGAGCCUUGAUGUGUAGGAUAGGUGGGAGGCUUAGAAGUGUGGACGCCAGUCUGCAUGGAGCCGACCUUGAAAUACCACCCUUUAAUGUUUGAUGUUCUAACGUUGACCCGUAAUCCGGGUUGCGGACAGUGUCUGGUGGGUAGUUUGACUGGGGCGGUCUCCUCCUAAAGAGUAACGGAGGAGCACGAAGGUUGGCUAAUCCUGGUCGGACAUCAGGAGGUUAGUGCAAUGGCAUAAGCCAGCUUGACUGCGAGCGUGACGGCGCGAGCAGGUGCGAAAGCAGGUCAUAGUGAUCCGGUGGUUCUGAAUGGAAGGGCCAUCGCUCAACGGAUAAAAGGUACUCCGGGGAUAACAGGCUGAUACCGCCCAAGAGUUCAUAUCGACGGCGGUGUUUGGCACCUCGAUGUCGGCUCAUCACAUCCUGGGGCUGAAGUAGGUCCCAAGGGUAUGGCUGUUCGCCAUUUAAAGUGGUACGCGAGCUGGGUUUAGAACGUCGUGAGACAGUUCGGUCCCUAUCUGCCGUGGGCGCUGGAGAACUGAGGGGGGCUGCUCCUAGUACGAGAGGACCGGAGUGGACGCAUCACUGGUGUUCGGGUUGUCAUGCCAAUGGCACUGCCCGGUAGCUAAAUGCGGAAGAGAUAAGUGCUGAAAGCAUCUAAGCACGAAACUUGCCCCGAGAUGAGUUCUCCCUGACUCCUUGAGAGUCCUGAAGGAACGUUGAAGACGACGACGUUGAUAGGCCGGGUGUGUAAGCGCAGCGAUGCGUUGAGCUAACCGGUACUAAUGAACCGUGAGGCUUAACCUU
rnacentral:rRNA from 1 species